ACAAAAAAAAUGCACAACAUUCACAACAAACACAGACUUUCAGUCUGUUUUCCCCCUCUCAGCAACUAGUCGGAGCCGGUUAACCGGUCGGAGAAGGGGUUCCGAUGAGACAACCCUCCGACACCGCGACCGCUCAUCACCCCCCCCCCCCCGUUCCUCACUCAAGUGCGGCCGACACUCACAGCUCACCCCUCUCUCUCGCCGGCGAAGAUAGAUGGCCAGACUCCGGCCAGUCACAGCGAAGCCGGCAACGGUAGUGAACCCCGACCGACGGUGGUUCAGUUCUCCGGACCAGACACCCUUUCGAUUUCCCCCCUCUGUUAAUCGGCCAACCACCACCAUCUUCUGGUGGUGGCGGACUACAGCAGCAACACCACCACCACAGGCGGCGGCGCUGUGGUGGGUGGUGCCGGUCAAAACUUCGAAGAAAGAGGAAGAUCGGAGUCUCGGUCCGGCGGUCGGAGCCUUGGACCGGCGGUCGGAGCCAAGGCCCGUCGGUCUUUUCCAUUAUCCGAUGGAUUCACGACGAUAAAGACGGUGGUGGUGCCAUUUCAGGUUCGGGAUUAGCAGAUCAGAUUAUGACUUAGCUCGGUUCGACUCGGUGUAUUUCAGCUUAACUCGGUUCGACUUGGUGUAACUCAGUCCAACUCGGCUCGACUCAGUUCAUUACGGCUCGACUCAGUUCAUCACGCCUCAACUUAGUCAACAUGAGUUGACUCGGUCAACUCGGUCAAACCAGUUGACUCAGUCAACUCAGUCAAGCGGCUCGAUGUAUCGACUCGAAGAAGUGGUAAAGAUUUUAACGGCGUAUUUAUUUCGUUAUGUUUAUAAUUUUAAUUCUUGCGUGACAAGCGAGCUCGACCCGAUUAAUUAACGCAUAUACAUUAGUUAUUAUCUACGUUUUGGUACUUGACGAAAAUUUCAUAUAUAUUGUUUGUUGACAAUUGUUAAA